rnacentral:rRNA from 1 species
CGGCGGACGGGUUAGUAACGCGUGGGAAUGUACCCAGAUCUACGGAAUAGCCUCGGGAAACUGAGAGUAAUACCGUAUACGCCCUUCGGGGGAAAGAUUUAUCGGAUUUGGAUCAGCCCGCGUUAGAUUAGAUAGUUGGUGGGGUAAUGGCCUACCAAGUCUACGAUCUAUAGCUGGUUUUAGAGGAUGAUCAGCAACACUGGGACUGAGACACGGCCCAGACUCCUACGGGAGGCAGCAGUGGGGAAUCUUAGACAAUGGGCGCAAGCCUGAUCUAGCCAUGCCGCGUGUGUGAUGAAGGCCUUAGGGUCGUAAAGCACUUUCGCCAGAGAUGAUAAUGACAGUAUCUGGUAAAGAAACCCCGGCUAACUCCGUGCCAGCAGCCGCGGUAAUACGGAGGGGGUUAGCGUUGUUCGGAAUUACUGGGCGUAAAGCGUACGUAGGCGGAUCAGAAAGUAGGGGGUGAAAUCCCAGGGCUCAACCCUGGAACUGCCUCCUAAACUCCUGGUCUUGAGUUCGAGAGAGGUGAGUGGAAUUCCAAGUGUAGAGGUGAAAUUCGUAGAUAUUUGGAGGAACACCAGUGGCGAAGGCGGCUCACUGGCUCGAUACUGACGCUGAGGUACGAAAGUGUGGGGAGCAAACAGGAUUAG